rnacentral:rRNA from 1 species
CCCCUAGUAACUGCGAGUGAAGCGGGAAAAGCUCAAAUUUGAAAUCUGGCGGCUCCGUCGCCCGAGUUGUAUUCUGGAGAAGCGUCUUCCGCGCCGGACCGUGUACAAGUCCCUUGGAACAGGGCGUCAUAGAGGGUGAGAAUCCCGUCUUUGGCACGGACUCCCGGUGCUCUGCGAUGCGCUCUCGAAGAGUCGAGUUGUUUGGGAAUGCAGCUCAAAAUGGGUGGUAAAUUCCAUCUAAAGCUAAAUAUUGGCGAGAGACCGAUAGCGAACAAGUACCGUGAGGGAAAGAUGAAAAGCACUUUGGAAAGAGAGUAAAACAGUACGUGAAAUUGUUGAAAGGGAAACGCUUGAAGUCAGUCGCGUCUUCUGGAACUCAGCCUUGCUUCUGCUCGGUGCACUUUCCAGUUCGACGGGCCAGCAUCGGUUUCGGGCGGUGGACACUGGCGAGGGGAAGGUGGCAGCUCCGGCUGCGUUAUAGCCCCUCGUCGCAAACUCCGCCUGGGACCGAGGAAUCCGGCGCGAGCCUGGGAUGCUGGCGUAAUGGCUUUAAACGACCCGUCUUGAAACACGGACCAAGGAGUGCUACACGCUCGCGAGUGUUUGGGUGGCAAACCCGAGCGCGCAAUGAAAGUGAAAGUCGAUACCCCU